rnacentral:rRNA from 1 species
UAAGACGAACCGUACGAACGUUAUUCGGAAUUACUGGGCUUAAAGGGUUUGUAGGCGGCCUUGUAAGUCAGGUGUGAAAGCCCUCGGCUCAACCGAGGAAUAGCGCUUGAUACUGCAAGGCUUGAGGGAGACAGGGGUAAGCGGAACUGAUGGUGGAGCGGUGAAAUGCGUUGAUAUCAUCAGGAACACCGGUGGCGAAAGCGGCUUACUGGGUCUCUUCUGACGCUGAGGAACGAAAGCUAGGGGAGCGAACGGGAUUAGAUACCCCGGUAGUCCUAGCUGUAAACGAUGAGCACUUGUCUGGGGAUCCUCCCAUAGGUUCCCGGACGUAGCGAAAGUGUUAAGUGCUCCGCCUGGGGAGUAUGGUCGCAAGGCUGAAACUUAAAGGAAUUGACGG